rnacentral:rRNA from 1 species
ACAUGCGGAAGGAUCAUUG